rnacentral:lncRNA from 1 species
UUUCUUUCUUUCUUUCUUUCUUGUUGUUUUUUGUUUCUUUUUUUUUUUUUUCCAGACAAGGUUUCUUUAUGUAGCCCUGGCUAUUCUGGAACUCAGUUAUCUACCUGCCUCUGCCUCUGCUUCUAAAGUGCUGGGAUUAAAGAUAUGCACUGCCACUGCCCAGCAAUACAUUGUCAUUCUUUAGAUGGGGAAAAAAAGGAAAAAGAAACACUGUGGGCUAGCUAGUUUACACUAGAAAUUUUUGAGGUGAACACUGGUUAAAGGGGUUAGUAGCUUUCAAUAAACAUUGAUUUUCCUCAUGAUAGAAGUGAAAAUAGGACCCAAAGGCCAGACAGGAAAGAGUACGAUGGGAUUUCAUGCACGAGAAAAGGUUAUGUGGGAUGAGGUUGGGCCUUGAGUGUGGGAGCAGCAGCAGAGUCUGAGCUAGGCAAGGUCUCUGGGCCAGUGCUCUUGAAGGUUUGUUUUGGCACUCAGGUCCCCUGCCUUGGUGUUAAAAGGGGAUAGAGUAGCUGUUAGGACAGCUGAGACCUCAUCACGAUCCCAGGCCUCUAGAUACCUGUGUGACCCAGUUUUCCCACAGGAAGCUACUUCUGUGUGUGGUGUUAGGUGUGUGGGGUGCAAAGCAUGGCAGCUCAUUAGUCAUUAGAGUGGAGGCACCGAGCUGAUUCCUAGGCAAAGAUGAGACUUGAAAACUCAGAAUGGUAAUGUGGACAGGAAGGUUUCAGCAGGUCCCAGAGUGGUCGGACACACAGCUUUUGAGUAUGGUUCUCUCAGUAGACUUUUAGACUUUGCCACCAUCCCUAUCCUGCUCUGCUCGUGCCUUGGCCUGGAGAUGGCAUCCAGGACCAUGUCUCCAGGAAAGGUGCAGAGCAUCCUUAGAAGCCCGCUAGAUACCUGACAGGUAGCUUAUAUAGUAGCGCCUGGUCUUUCAGAGGUUCUCAUUACUUCCUGUCUGGUACUCAAGGGGCAGCACCCUGUGGGAGUUGCUUUAGAUCCCUUGAACUGAAGGGAUGAGUGGGGCCUAGGAUUGCUAUCUUCCCUGCAGUUUUUAGGGGCAGCAGCUCAGUGGAUACAGUAAGGCCGGCUGCUGCUAGUGAUCUUUCCAGUACCAUGAAAACUACUCAGUUAAGCAGAAGGGACCUGCUGUCCUGUACAGAUCCUCUGCAGGGGAUUCUAGGAAUGAAGGACACAUCCAGGCUUCUCUGCACCUCUGUUCACCUGUGUGCAGAUGCUAAACUGUUUGGCCAAGUGUGACAGCCAAGGACAGCAGAGUUCCGAGGGGAGGGGGGGGGCCCUUAGGGUGGGGUGCUAACUGUUAAGCUACCUGGUCUUAGGACAGACCACCUGCCUUCCUUCCUGCUCACUAGGACUAGAGAAUGUUGCCCAGGAUUCCCUGAGGAUUCCUCUCCAGAGCCUUCACUGUACUCAGAAGCAUGGGGAGGGCAGUCUCUGUGACCACUUGGCCCGUUCUGGGUUUUUCUAUGUAUUCCCUAGCUCACCCUGACCUUCCAGGUUAGGUGUUUCCAUGAGAGGACUGGGGACUUCUGUUUUCACAUGUGAUCUUAGGUGGGGGAUUUCCAGCCCCAGUCCUAUUCCCUGCACUUAUUUUUAUUUAAACAGACUGUCUGUCUAUAUAACCCAGACUAGCAUGGAAUUCACAGCCAUCGUGUUUUAGUCUCCUGAAAACUGGGAUUACAGGUGUACACCACUAUGCAUAGCUAGCAUGUAAAUUCCCAGUUAGUUUGGGAAUUGAUAAUUAUGUCAUAUCACAGCUUAAAUGUGUAGUAAAGGCACUGCCCCCUGCUAACUCAUUUCCUCCUUCAGUGCAGUGGUUUGAGUGUAAGAAAAGAAGGCCCGCGUUGAGCUCACUGACACACACCUGUCGUCGCAGCAUUUGGGAGGUGGAGGCAGGAAGAUGGGGGGUACAAGGUCAUCGAGAUGGUUCACUCAGUAGAACUACUUGCCACAACCCAAAUUUGGUCCUCAGUAUCAACACCAUGCAGCUCACAACUGCCUAUAAUCUAGCUCUAGGGGGAUCAGACAUCUCUGGCCUCCUAGGGCCACGUGUAAGUCCCCUCCCCCAACAUACACACACACACACACACACACACACAGAGUUAAAAAUAAAUCUCUUUUUAAAAAUCUAAGCAUGGGCUACAGAAUGAGUUCAAAUGUUAGCCUGGGCAACUUAGUGAAACUGUUAAAAGAAAACAUGAAGAGAGCUGUGGCUCUAGCUCAGUGGUCGAACGCUGCCCAGCAAGUAAAACGCUUAGGCUCUUAGCAUUAUAAAAAAGGAAGGAGAAUAAAUCCACUGGCACGGAGAGAUGGCUAAGUAGUUAAGCUUGUACUGCUCUCUUGGGUGUUUUUGUUUUUGAGACAAAGUCUCUCUUAUACAAUCUGGCUGCCCUGAGACUUAACUAUGUAGACUGGGCAGAGCUGCCUGCUUCCAUCUCCUGAGUACUGGCUUUAAAGAAGUGUACUGCCAUGCCCAGUGGUAAGAGCAUGCGUUCUUGCAGAGAACCAAAGUUCAGUUUCCAGCACUCAUGAUGGUGGUUCACCACUGCCUAUAACUCUAGCUCUUCUGACUUCCCUGGGCAUUAUACUUACCAUACAUAUACCCUUCCCCCUCAAAAAAGAAAUAAAAUUAAAAAUAAAUUUUUUUCUUAAUGCC